rnacentral:rRNA from 1 species
GUGAGGAAUAUUGGUCAAUGGGCGAGAGCCUGAACCAGCCAAGUCGCGUGAAGGAAGAAGGAUCUAUGGUUCGUAAACUUCUUUUGCAGGGGAAUAAAGUGCAGGACGUGUCCUGUUUUGUAUGUACCCUGAGAAUAAGGAUCGGCUAACUCCGUGCCAGCAGCCGCGGUAAUACGGAGGAACCGAGCGUUAUCCGGAUUUAUUGGGUUUAAAGGGUGCGUAGGUGGUUUGAUAAGUCAGCGGUGAAAGUUUGCAGCUUAACUGUAAAAAUGCCGUUGAAACUGUCGGACUUGAGUGUAAAUGAGGUAGGCGGAAUGCGUGGUGUAGCGGUGAAAUGCAUAGAUAUCACGCAGAACUCCGAUUGCGAAGGCAGCUUACUAAGCUACAACUGACACUGAAGCACGAAAGCGUGGGGAUCAAACAGGAUUAGAAACCCCGGUAGUCC